UCAUACUGUUCUGUGGCUAUUCCCCCCCACUUUGAUAAAGUUUUAUAUAAUUGCAGAGUUAUUCACAAUAGUAAGUGAAAUAACUUUGUAUUAUUUUUUUAGGUAUGUCUUCUAAUCAAAACCAAGAAUUUUCAGGGGAGCAAGAAAUACAAUAUUUUUUGUAAAACUUGAAAAAGCAAAGAAAUCACCCAUGUGAUCGUUUAAAAGAGCUUUACAAUGAGAAAAGUGAAAAAGUUUUUAAUCCAUACCCAAAAUUUAUUUAUCCAAGCUUUUAUAAUCAAAAGACAAAUUACAGCUAUAAGGUAUGUGAAAUCAUUUUUAAUAAAACUACAAGAAUUUCUGA